rnacentral:rRNA from 1 species
UAACUGAAGAGUUUGAUCAUGGCUCAGAUUGAACGCUGGCGGCAGGCUUAACACAUGCAAGUCGAGCGGGGGAAGGUAGCUUGCUACCGGACCUAGCGGCGGACGGGUGAGUAAUGCUUAGGAAUCUGCCUAUUAGUGGGGGACAACAUCUCGAAAGGGAUGCUAAUACCGCAUACGUCCUACGGGAGAAAGCAGGGGAUCUUCGGACCUUGCGCUAAUAGAUGAGCCUAAGUCGGAUUAGCUAGUUGGUGGGGUAAAGGCCUACCAAGGCGACGAUCUGUAGCGGGUCUGAGAGGAUGAUCCGCCACACUGGGACUGAGACACGGCCCAGACUCCUACGGGAGGCAGCAGUGGGGA